AGGAGGUCAACAAGCAGCAGUAGCAUCAGCAGUGAAAUCACAGCUCAUGGUAGUCCCAGCUACCAAAUACAUCAGAACUACACUAACCUGAUUCCUUUAUAGCCAAGGAUAUGUAGGCAACCUCUGAAGCAGAGUUCGGUCAGACUGUUUUCAAAAUGCUUCUCAUGGAAUGCACAGCAGGCAAAAAUCUCUCCGUUGCUCAUUUAUCUUUGGCCGAAAACCCUUCAUAUCUCUGAGCAAAGAAUGGCAGCUGUGAGCACAUGAUUUUUUCCUCACAUGAAGAAUUCCUAUACAAU
rnacentral:lncRNA from 1 species